CAAUAGCGUAUAUUAAAGUUGUUGCGGUAAAAAAGCUCGUAGUUGGAUUUCUACCGAAGAUAGCCGGUCGGGUCUUCGACCUUGUAUCUGGUUUUGUCUUUGGUAUCCUCAUAGGGAACGUUUCUGCGCUUUAUUGCGUGGUGCGGUAUCUAUGACUUUUACUUUGAGGAAAUUAGAGUGUUCACGGCAGGCAAACGCCUUGAAUAUAUUAGCAUGGAAUAAUAACAUAGGAUCUUCGUCCUAUUUUGUUGGUUUCUAGGGCUAAGAUUAUGAUUAAUAGGGAUAAUUGGGGGCAUCUGUAUCAACGCGUCAGAGGUGGAAUUCUUGGAUUGCGUUGCGACAAACUACUGCGAAAGCAUUUGCCAAGGAUGUUUUCAUUGA
rnacentral:rRNA from 1 species